GGUACACGAGCGGCGAACGGGUGAGUAACACGUGGGUGAUCUGCCCUGCACUCUGGGAUAAGCCUGGGAAACUGGGUCUAAUACCGGAUAUGACCUGUCCUCGCAUGGGGGUGGGUGGAAAGAUUUAUCGGUGCAGGAUGGGCCCGCGGCCUAUCAGCUUGUUGGUGGGGUAAUGGCCUACCAAGGCGACGACGGGUAGCCGACCUGAGAGGGUGACCGGCCACACUGGGACUGAGACACGGCCCAGACUCCUACGGGAGGCAGCAGUGGGGAAUAUUGCACAAUGGGCGGAAGCCUGAUGCAGCGACGCCGCGUGAGGGAUGAAGGCCUUCGGGUUGUAAACCUCUUUCAGCAGGGACGAAGCGUGAGUGACGGUACCUGCAGAAGAAGCACCGGCUAACUACGUGCCAGCAGCCGCGGUAAUACGUAGGGUGCGAGCGUUGUCCGGAAUUACUGGGCGUAAAGAGUUCGUAGGCGGUUUGUCGCGUCGUUUGUGAAAACCCGGGGCUCAACUUCGGGCUUGCAGGCGAUACGGGCAGACUUGAGUGUUUCAGGGGAGACUGGAAUUCCUGGUGUAGCGGUGAAAUGCGCAGAUAUCAGGAGGAACACCGGUGGCGAAGGCGGGUCUCUGGGAAACAACUGACGCUGAGGAACGAAAGCGUGGGUAGCAAACAGGAUUAGAUACCCUGGUAGUCCACGCCGUAAACGGUGGGCGCUAGGUGUGGGUUCCUUCCACGGAAUCUGUGCCGUA
rnacentral:rRNA from 1 species